AGUGAACGCUGGCGGUAGGCCUAACACAUGCAAGUCGAACGGCAGCACAGUAAGAGCUUGCUCUUACGGGUGGCGAGUGGCGGACGGGUGAGGAAUACAUCGGAAUCUACUUUUUCGUGGGGGAUAACGUAGGGUAACUUACGCUAAUACCGCAUACGACCUACGGGUGAAAGCAGGGGAUCUUCGGACCUUGCGCGAUUGAAUGAGCCGAUGUCGGAUUAGCUAGUUGGCGGGGUAAAGGCCCACCAAGGCGACGAUCCGUAGCUGGUCUGAGAGGAUGAUCGGCCACACUGGAACUGAGACACGGUCCAGACUCCUACGGGAGGCAGCAGUGGGGAAUAUUGGACAAUGGGCGCAAGCCUGAUCCAGCCAUACCGCGUGGGUGAAGAAGGCCUUCGGGUUGUAAAGCCCUUUUGUUGGGAAAGAAAAGCAGCAGGUUAAUACCCCGCUGUUCUGACGGUACCCAAAGAAUAAGCACCGGCUAACUUCGUG
rnacentral:rRNA from 1 species